rnacentral:lncRNA from 1 species
ACAGAUGGUUCAUCAUAUUUCAUUAACUGUAAUUUUAAGGUUCAGUAUACAGAGGUAUUGGUAGAGCAGCACCAUCUUGGAGAGCUUUCUGGGAUGAUGAAAAUGAUUUAUAAAGCUACACCACCUAGUUUGUUAGCUUCUAGUCACUUGAAGCCACUAAGCACCUUAAAUGCAGCUAGUAUGACAUAGGAACUGAAUAUCUAAUUGAUACAGCUGCUAAUGUUUUGGACAGCUCUAUUACAGAGGAUUUGCUUAUUUUUAAAUAACUAUUUAACAGGUAAACAUUUAAGCUAAGAUACUCUACCUCUAAAAGAAAGAUCUUGAUUCAUCUUCUAGGGUUCAACACUAAUAUUUCCCCUUCACAGACCAUAUGGUGCUUGCUGAGUGAUAUUUUUGACUUCUGCAAGGCCAACAUUUGUCCCUUCUCUGAGCUGUUCACGAAGUUCGUGUCUCUUUUUCAGGAACACAGUGGGGAGUUUGGGAGUAAUGAUUAUGAGCAAUUUUUUACAAAUGGACAUGAGCCCUUGUUGUAUAAACAAAGUGAAAGUGCUGUAAGUUGAAUUAAUAGUUUAAUCAGACUGUGAGGGGCAGGGACAGUAUUUGUCUUGCUGGUCAUUGAGUCUCCAGUGCCUAGUGUAGUGUUUGGCACAUAGGAAUGCUCAUAAAUAUGUGUUGAAUCAAAUCAUUAUUUGAUCAAGUAAUUUAAUCCCUGCAGUUUAGCUUCAGAGGGUAUAUUGUAUAGUUGGUGGUAUGGCAGGUUCCCUGGAAGUAUUGUUUUCUUUUUAGAGUUGAAGAAAAGGCUGAAGGCCAGUAACUACACUGACUCCCCAUUUUUUGGAGAAGUGUGACCUCUCCAGGGGCACUGUCAACUCAGUGACUUUGAUUUCUUUCCUGUAAGAUACAUAGCACAAGUUAUUACCCUCAUUUGAUGACAGAUUGAAAAAUAGUCACAAGAAGAUCUGGUGCUCAGGUCAUACAGAGUGUUGGAAGUAUAAAUCAAAUUGAAGUCAUCAUUUCUAUUUGUGCACUAGGCCAUGAUACUUCUUCAGGAAAAAUAAAAUCACAUACCGAACUACGUUAGUUAGAAAUUUUGAUUUGUAAAAUCAAAGGUAAUUAUAUAUUUCAAUGGAGUCUAAAAGAGGACUGAAAAUAUUAGCUCUAGAAUGGCAUGACAUUGGGAAAACAGCUUUAGUAUGAGGAACAGGAAUGGAAACGUUUAUUUCUUAAACCUUCAAAUCGCAGUCUGAGGUGGUCCUAACACCCAAGUCAUAGAUUUCCC